UACGUAGGGUGCGAGCGUUGUCCGGAAUUAUUGGGCGUAAAGGGCUCGUAGGCGGCCUGUCGCGUCGGGAGUGAAAGCCCACUGCUUAACGGUGGGUCUGCUUUCGGUACGGGCGGGCUAGAGUAUGGCAGGGGAGACUGGAAUUCCUGGUGUAGCGGUGGAAUGCGCAGAUAUCAGGAGGAACACCGGUGGCGAAGGCGGGGUCUCUGGGCCGAUACUGACGCUGAGGAGCGAAAGCGUGGGGAGCGAACAGG
rnacentral:rRNA from 1 species